GGGUUGUGAGGUUAAGCGACUAAGCGUACACGGUGGAUGCCCUGGCAGUCAGAGGCGAUGAAGGACGUGCUAAUCUGCGAUAAGCGUCGGUAAGGUGAUAUGAACCGUUAUAACCGGCGAUUUCCGAAUGGGGAAACCCAGUGUGUUUCGACACACUAUCAUUAACUGAAUCCAUAGGUUAAUGAGGCGAACCGGGGGAACUGAAACAUCUAAGUACCCCGAGGAAAAGAAAUCAACCGAGAUUCCCCCAGUAGCGGCGAGCGAACGGGGAGCAGCCCAGAGCCUGAAUCAGUAUGUGUGUUAGUGGAAGCGUCUGGAAAGGCGCGCGAUACAGGGUGACAGCCCCGUACACAAAAAUGCACAUAUUGUGAGCUCGAUGAGUAGGGCGGGACACGUGGUAUCCUGUCUGAAUAUGGGGGGACCAUCCUCCAAGGCUAAAUACUCCUGACUGACCGAUAGUGAACCAGUACCGUGAGGGAAAGGCGAAAAGAACCCCGGCGAGGGGAGUGAAAAAGAACCUGAAACCGUGUACGUACAAGCAGUGGGAGCACGCUUAGGCGUGUGACUGCGUACCUUUUGUAUAAUGGGUCAGCGACUUAUAUUCUGUAGCAAGGUUAACCGAAUAGGGGAGCCGAAGGGAAACCGAGUCUUAACUGGGCGUUAAGUUGCAGAGUAUAGACCCGAAACCCGGUGAUCUAGCCAUGGGCAGGUUGAAGGUUGGGUAACACUAACUGGAGGACCGAACCGACUAAUGUUGAAAAAUUAGCGGAUGACUUGUGGCUGGGGGUGAAAGGCCAAUCAAACCGGGAGAUAGCUGGUUCUCCCCGAAAGCUAUUUAGGUAGCGCCUCGUGAAUUCAUCUCCGGGGGUAGAGCACUGUUUCGGCAAGGGGGUCAUCCCGACUUACCAACCCGAUGCAAACUGCGAAUACCGGAGAAUGUUAUCACGGGAGACACACGGCGGGUGCUAACGUCCGUCGUGAAGAGGGAAACAACCCAGACCGCCAGCUAAGGUCCCAAAGUCAUGGUUAAGUGGGAAACGAUGUGGGAAGGCCCAGACAGCCAGGAUGUUGGCUUAGAAGCAGCCAUCAUUUAAAGAAAGCGUAAUAGCUCACUGGUCGAGUCGGCCUGCGCGGAAGAUGUAACGGGGCUAAACCAUG
rnacentral:rRNA from 1 species